rnacentral:piRNA from 1 species
GUGAGGCCAUAGGUCCUUAGCCAGA